rnacentral:lncRNA from 1 species
GUAUAUGUCAUAUUUAUCAUUUAAUUGUUGGUGAUGGUAUGAGAAUUUUAAACAUAGAAAUUGAAAAGGUUAAAUUCGCUCUUAAUUGGCUUUUUAUUCUAACUGUAGAAGUAGACUUAGAGAAUAUUAUAAAAAAUGUGACGAAUAUAGCUUUAGAGAAAGAAAGGUUCCUAAACCUUGCCCGACUAGGUGGAACUACAUGUACGAAAGUUUAGUAGUGGCGUACGAAUAUAGAAACCCAAUUAACGCUACUUAUAAUUCUCGGGAUUGUAGGGAGGAAGAUAAUGACAUGCUAACUAAUCAAGAUUGGACUAACGUUAAAAUUCUCUUAGACUUCUUAGAACAUUUUCAUGUGGCUACAAAUGCUUUAUCUGGCCAAUAUUAUCCAACUAUUUCU